rnacentral:lncRNA from 1 species
GUUUCGUUAUAAUGACUUCCAUUCUUUACUUUGAAUCUCUCUGUCUCUGUCUUGUCUCUUUAUCUUCACCGGAUCCCUUGCUCACCGAUCCGAUUUAUGAAACGCUUUAGAAAUAUGGCUAUGAUUGUAUAAUUAAUCAGAUAGCUAUUAUUACAUUUUGAGUUUAAACGCUUAGUUUCUUCUAAUCUAUAUUAUUUCUUCUUAUUUUUUUCAAGAAGAUUGUCUGAAGUUUGGAAUCAAAGACAUGAGAUCAGAUGAGCAAGUCCGAUAUGGUUACUAAACCCGAAACGAACAUCAUGCAUGUCUCAGAUUGGUAAUGAAUCAACUAAAACCCUUCAGCUUUUGGUUUCUUAUGCUGACUGAUUUUAAUUCUUCUUAGUUUACUGUAUCUAUUUCCAGGAGAGGGUUUUACUUUCAGAUAGAUAUAUAUUCUUCUUACACAAAUAAGAAUGUAAGAAGAAACCAACAACAAAAGCAAACAUCAAUUGUGUCAAAUGGAAGGAGAUCAUGCUUAUCUAUGUAUUACUUCAGUUGAUUGUAUCUGAACAAUAAGGCGGUUAGUAUACAAUCCUAAACUAAUUGUUUUACUUACGUUCUCAAACCAAAUCUGAUUUCGACCUGUGCAAAACUAUUAACAGGACCUUCAUAUAGAGAUACAUUAAAGUCAUUUAUUUUUUAAAAAUCUGGUUAAAAUUGAAAUCGUUUGUUAGGCUAGAUCGUUUGUGUAGUUUGGCAUCAUAUGAGGUUAAAAAGGAAAUAAUAAUAUUUUAUAAACAUUGUUCUAGUUAAGUUAUUCAAUUUGAUAUUUUGUUAGUUUCGUGUUGUUUGUUGGAUAUAAUGGUCUCAUAUGUUUUAUAGAAACAAUUGACUAAUAAGAAACUAUUUGUUAAUCUUUUUAUACAAUCAUCGUAUUAUGAUAUUAGCCUAUUUAAUGUUUGGCAUGAUAUUAGACGUUUUGAGAACCAAGUUACAUGAAUCCAGCUGCAAAAUGAAAACAACAGCCUUGCCGGAAAAAAAAAGAAGAACAUUGUUAGUAAUUACUUAUCUAUCCAAACUAAUUCAUGACCAUCCAGAAUUAGUUUUAAGAUUGAAAGAACCAUGCCUUAUCUAUAUAUGUUUAGUUUGCACUUGACUGAGUGAUGUAUAUCUGUGUUUAGUUAAUGAUGGACUUAUAUAACACCAAAAUAUAUAAAAAAAGCUUCAAAUGACCAAAGAGAAUGAAUAUAUUUGUCCAAAAAAAAAGACAAGCAUCUUAUUUAAAUGAAUUUUGAUGAUAAAAAAAGUUGUUUAUAAAGCUAAAUAAACAAUUUCAGAAGCAUACGAACCAGCCAGCAUUCUUCCACCAACAUGUGUGUAUUUCAAACCUGAAAAAACCUGAAGAAAAUUAUAGGUGAAGAAAGUGACUAUACGAAUGUAAUAAACGUUUGUAAACAUAAGAUACCAAUUGGUCUGCUAAAACAAUCUCGAAGGUAUCUCCUCCAAGUGAUGUGUGUUGCUUCCAUGAAUGUAAGAAUUUAACUUGAUAAUUACUAGUUUUUAAAAGGUAUGAGUUUUGUGAGAGGAGUAAGAACUGUAAUCUUAAGCAUGUUUAGGUUUUUCUGUGUAGAAUGAUUUGCUUUUUAUGCAAUAGAGAUGAUAUAUAUAUAUAUAUAUUUAUAUACAUAUACAUAUAGUUGGUUUUGGAAAGGGUAGGUAAAGUAAGAAAUUAUAACAAAAUAUUUGGUUAGUUAUAAUUUGAACGAAUUCAAAAGAGAAUUAUCGUUUUUCAAGAAUUUAAUAUACAUUUCUUUUAACUUUAAAUCAUAAUGAUAUAAAGAGUAUUGGAUUUUAAAGAUUAGUGAUUUGCAAGUUUUGUAAACAUAAUAAAAAUAUGGGAAAAUUGCCGAAAUAGAACAAAAAAACAACAUAGUUUUCCCUAUGGUAUAAAUCCAUUUUUUACCAUUUUUUCUCCCUUUUACCCUUUCCAUAUAUUAAAAUUAAUGAAAUAAAUAGUUUUAAGAAUCAAAAAAUUAUUAAAAUAUAAAUAAUUAAUAAAACACCCAUUUACACAAACACAUAUUUUUUGGGUUGAAAAACAUAAUAAAUGAUGUUUUCAAAUUACGUUCUACUAAAAGUAGAAUUCCGCUUUUACACAAAACGGGUAAGUAGAAAAUGAAUUCUAGAAUGAACAUAUCCAUCUACUUUGUUUAGAACGUACAAACUACUUUUUACUAUAACUCUAAAUAUGGGGAAUACGAAUUCUAUUACUUGUAAUGAUCGCUACUUUUAUUUAGAACGAUGUUUCUACUUUUAUGGUGUAUUCUAAGUUAUCAGGAAUGCAAAAUCUAAACCAUACACGAACGUCCACAUAGUGUAGAAAUUACAUUCUGGAAUUUUGUUAUGUUCUACACAGUGUAGAAUGUGCUUUCUACGGAUAAAAAAAAACUGUUUUUUCGAAAAUUAAAGAAGUUGCAGUUUUAAAAAUAUUCUAACUUCCUAAAACGUGUUUUCAUUGAUUUACUUCGUGAAAAAUAAAAAUAAAAACGAUUUUGAAUGUUCUUCUUCACCAAUCUAUGAUUUCCCCAUGAUUUCUCUAUAGUUUGUCUUGUGAUUUUCACAAACUCUUGUUCUAUGAUGCAUAUCUAUACAACAUGUGGUGUUUGGGAGUUUGGAGCAACCACGGGAUGGUUUUUUUUGGCUGAUGAGAAAGGGGCUAGGCUACUUUUAUUGGAAUCAAGUUCUACCUUAGAGGUUUUUAAAAGAAUGGUUUUAGAGAAUUUUGAUAUGGAAGAAGAUAGCUUACCCGAUUUGGAGUUGAGUUAUCUACCUACUGAGUUGAUCAAUACAUCAACAUGUCCACCUGUGAUCAUUGCAAAUGAUCGACAGCUUCAGAAUUUUGUUGGUUUUGUUCAAAAGUGUGUUUCUACUCGAUUGUGUGUAAGAAUCUGAAUGAACCAGACUUUGAUCUUAACAAGUCGCCAGCUGAUUCAAGUAUUGCUGAAGAGGAGGGAAACUCGGUUGAUAGGGGGAACGAACCAGCUCAUGUGUUUGUUGAGAGGCAGUGAGAGAAAAAGAAAGAAAAGAUUAGAAGAGUCGAAGUUGAUGAGGAUGCCUAUGAUGCUGAUACCAUGAUCUCGGCCAAAGAGGACAACCAUAAUAUGUCAAAGUUUUCUCUGCUCAAUGUUUUUAAGAAGGGACAAUUGUUUGAGAACAAAACUUUGCUGAAGGCCACUUUCGAGAUAUGUGCAAUGAAGCAUAAGUUUCACUACGAGGUUAUCAAAACAGAUAGACAGCUUUGGUAUGUUAGAUGUGAGGAUAAUGCAUGCAAUUGGUGUGUUCGAGCAGAGUGUUUGAAGGAUUCUGCAUAUUUCAUUAUCAAAAAGUAUGUCGGUGAACAUACAUGCGCACCUUCAAGCAAAACCAAACCGGGUAAAACUGCUUCGGCCAAAACUAUAGGCACUCUGAUUAUUAAACCAACAUUGAAUCAUUUUUUUUUUAAAUACAAUUAAUUAUGUUUAAUGGGAUUAAUCAAAUGUUACUUUUGGUAUUAUGGAAAACAUUAUACUAUAGGGACAACUUGAGGUUGGAUUUAUACCAUAGGGACAACUAUGUUAUUUUUUUGUUCUCUUUCGGCAAUUUUCCCAAAUAUGUUGUGUUAAUUGAUUGAUAUCGUUUUUGUUAUGGUUAUUGCGUAGAAAAUAGGAGUAUUUUUUGGAAUGUUAUUGAGUUAAAGAAACUACGAAAUCAUAAUUAUAUAUAGAAUAUUCGUUUUAAAGAUAACACAUAUGUGAUUUGAAAGUUUUGUAAAAAUAUUAAUAAGAUUGUGUUAUGUGCUUGGUAUCGUUUUUAUUAAAUAUUUUUACGUACAAAUAAGAGUAUUUUUGAAAUGUUAUUAAGUUAGUGAUGUUAUGGUUAGCGAUAAAUGUAAAACGUCUGUGUCUUAAGGCAACGGCAUAGGAUGGUAAUUUUUUAGGAAAAGUCAGGGUUAUUUUUUUUUGUACUUCUGUUUUAAUAGUUUAAAUUUGUUGACCUCAAUUUACAAACCAUGUAUUUCACCAUUCUGCAAAUAAAAUGAUAAAUUCAGACAAUUACACAGACAUUCAAAUCUUUCCCACAUAAACCUAUUCACAAUUCAUUCCCAUUUUAAAAGAAAAGAAUACCAGCAACAAAUAGUAAGAAAAUAAUAUCAUUCAUAAACCAAACACUGUUCUGUAGUAUUGUUGAAACUUGAAACUUAAUAGUAAGAUGUUGUAUACUUGUAUCUCUGAUAUAUUACCAUUCUUUUACAUAUUAAUACUAUAUUUUACCUUUGACCAAAAAAAUACCAUGUUUUACCAAGAUUUUGGAUGUGUUAUAUUAUUAUAGACAUAUAUGUGUUAUAUUAUUAUAGACAAAAUAUAACCGACCACUAACUAAAAUAACCAGCAACUACUGGAGAUAACCAGAUGAUAUGAAUGUUAACUGAGAUAACUGGAUAAUAACCAACAAACAUUAUAGGUACCUACAACCAUUAUAGUCACUAAAAUAUAUGGUGUUUUUGACAUCUUGUAUAUAUGUUUUCUAAUUGGUUUUCAAGUCUUUAUCGAGUCUUCCUAGUCAUUUUCGAGUUAUUACAGGUCUGGAGUUGCACUGGAUGGGAGAUGGACUAGCUGGAACAAAAGAGCCAGAAAGAACCCGAAUUGGAGAUUUUCACGAGCGGAACAACCUUGCAGGCUGUUCUCGAGCGUGUGGAGCAACCCGAGUGCAUGUUCCAGCGACAGAGAUUUUUAAGGAAAACUUCUAAUAUUUCGGGAUUUUACCUAGGGUUCCCUCUUUUUACUCCCAGACCGCCAUAGAGCUGCAUAUCUAUCUUUUCUUAUUAUUCUAGACAUUCUACGUUACUUUUAGGGGAGAUUUUGGAGAGAGAAAAUUUGUACUCUUGUUUAGGGAGAAGAAUCUCUACAUCCUUUGGAAAAUAUUUCUAAACUCUCUUUGUUUUUUUUUAUUAUUGAUUCAUACAUGUUUUCCUCAUCUGUUAUCUCUAUGUUUUCUCUGUCCAUGGCAGAGUAAUCUGCCUGCUUACUCUAGGGUGUUAGGGUGUUUAGAUCAAUGAGCUAAAACCAAAUAAGGUUCAUUAUUGAUUGUCUCCAUUCAUGGUUAUGCUUACUGCCUGCAUUAAACUAGCUAUUUAUUGUUUGAACCUAGGUUUAAUCUAAUCAUCAAAAGUGCUUAGGUUGCUAGAAACAACAUGAAUGGGCAGC